UACGUAGGUGGCAAGCGUUAUCCGGAUUUAUUGGGCGUAAAGGGAACGCAGGCGGUCUAUUAAGUCUGGUGUAAAAGGCAGUGGCUCAACCAUUGUAUGCAUUGGAAACUGGUAGACUUGAGUGCAGGAGAGGAGAGUGGAAUUCCAUGUGUAGCGGUGAAAUGCGUAGAUAUAUGGAGGAACACCGGUGGCGAAAGCGGCUCUCUGGCCUGUAACUGACACUGAGGUUCGAAAGCGUGGGGAGCAAACAGG
rnacentral:rRNA from 1 species